UACGGGGGGGGCAAGCGUUGUUCGGAAUUACUGGGCGUAAAGGGCUCGUAGGCGGCCAACUAAGUCAGACGUGAAAUCCCUCGGCUUAACCGGGGAACUGCGUCUGAUACUGGAUGGCUUGAGAUUGGGAGAGGGAUGCGGAAUUCCAGGUGUAGCGGCGAAAUGCGUAGAUAUCUGGAGGAACACCGGUGGCGAAGGCGACAUCCUGGACCAACACUGACGCUGAGGAGCGAAAGCCAGGGGAGCAAACAGG
rnacentral:rRNA from 1 species